UUGUAACUUUUUUAAAAAAGGUUACAGCAAGUAUUAGCUUCUCGAAGUAAGGAAAUGAAUGCUGCUCCCCACAUCCCCAAAGGUCAGAACUUGCAAUUCAAUAGUCAUUUUGUAAGCAUAUUUUUUUCUGAUGGUAGACUGUUUUGUGGUUAUUCUUUGUGUGUUGUUUUUUUAAUGGUGGUUGGUCAGAAUCAAUUAACCCAGGUUUUCUUAUUAUGCAUGUAUUAAUAUGCAUGUGUUAUAGGCAGAAAAAGUUGCAUGCUUUGGUUUAGAGAGGCUUCCACACACAAGGACUACGAGGCACUUAACUUUUAUGGGGGAAGAUUAACCAAGUGGAAGUGCCUGUGUUGCUCACAGACAGCUUAUGUGGGUAUAUGAGCAUGAUUACUCUACAAAGCGUGAGGACAUAAAUUUGUGAUGGGCUGCCCGGUACGUGCAACUUAGAACAAGGACGUUUUUAAACAUGUUUGACUUAAAGAGGCCUUCCACUGCAUAAACAGUGGCUCAAAGCCAUCGAUGUCCCUGCUUGCAGUGAGGUUGCUUUCUGCUGAAGGGCUCAAAAUUUACCCCCCCAAAAUAAGUGUCUUUAUGAUGAUAUUUCUUGAAGGUAUUUCAAGCUAUUUCUAAUGAAACUUGCCCAAAACAUAUUCUGCAAAACUUAACUCUUUACCAAAUCUUGUCUUUGUGUGAUUUAGGUAGUAGUAUUAUGAGCCAUGAUAAUUUAGACUGGAAACACAAAGGCAUUUCAAGUAAACCCCUGCAAAUCCAAGAAUAUUGUAUUUUCUCUGUUUGUUUUCCUUUUGUCCCGCUCCACUUCCAGCACAUCCCUCCAGUGGUUUUCUGUCUUUGUUGCAAUAAAUCUCCACUUCAGUGAAUUUGAAGAUAUAAACCUGACUGCAAAAAUUCAUAUCUGGUACAGUAGCUGGUUACUAACCCACUCAAAGGUUUCCACAUGGCAAAAAGAUUUCUUCGCUGUGACCAGCCAUUUCCUACACAGGCAAAGCAGUGGGACUAAAAUUGUCAUCAACUGUCAUUGUAUCCUGAAAUGUAAGUAUAUUCCUCUGCUCCAUUCUCUGAUUUAGUCUGGACAACAAGAAGUUGUUGGUAUAAAUCACAGGAACAGAUCUCAGUUGUAUGAAAGACUCAAUUCCGUCAUCGCCUUUUGCAGACUUUUCUUCUAGCCAUGUGCCGGGGAGAGACCGCUUGUGUUGCUAAAGCAAUGCUUAAAGAGGAGACGAGUUACUACCAUCGCUUCACUUCCGAGUCCCCAUGGGACUGUAGUUUAAGGCAGCUUGGCUCCUAGGAUCAAGUCGGCUAGCUCGGAUGUCUGCCCUGCGGGAGUUGCUCUCCUAAAGAUGCUUUAUGCUGCCACAUUUUCCUACUGCUUGGCAGGAAAACGAUGCUCAGCUUUUGUGAUUGAGUCUUCCCUGGAUGUGCCAGAGCUCACCCCAGUCACAAAACGUUUCUUGUGCAGGAGCAAGUCUCCAAAAUGCAGCAGCAGAUCGACACGGCUGCUGUCGUGUCCCUGUCAGCUGCCUUUGGUAAGGCAAGGUAGAGUUUCAGCACGUGUAUCAAAACAACUCUGGCAAUGCAGCUGUUCAGCAUUUCCUCACAACCUUUUGUGAGUAGCUCUCCAGAACUCUGUUCAAAAUACCGCUGGAAUCAGCUAAAUGUGGCUAGCCCUGUGGAUGAACUUUAGUACUUGGUUUGAUGUGCCUGAAAAGAUGAAUUAUUUAAACGUAAAUCCGUUUAGUUUUCAUGUUCCCUAUCCUCAUGAACUGAGAUGAGGGGGAAGAGGAGAGAGAAAAAAAAAAAAAGAAACCCCAUGGGAGAACAGUUUGUGCUGCUUAAAUCAUAGCCAAGUUGUUUUAUUUGUUUUUGAAAUAGUUCUUGGUGGGUACUGUAAACACAGGGAAGGUAUCUGUCACUUUUACUGCGUUUCGCACCAAGCGUGGAAAUUUAGCGGUAAGCAGAAAAGGCAAUCUAUAAAAUCUCUUUGUAGAAGAGAUUGAUACAAUGGCACCAAAGACAUCUCUUAAUAUACGUGUCUAAUUGUACUGCGGUAAAGAACGCACACUAGUAAGCAGAGAUACUGAGCAAAAACACUUCUGCUGAAUGCUUACGAUGACACAAAGAUGCAGUUCUUCAAGAGCGCAAAAGGCUUUCCAAUUUUUUUUACUGCUUACAGGAGUUUUUUAAAAAGCCUUUUGCACAGAUAAAUUGAAAGAUGCAGAAUACCUCAUCUCUGCCGGCAGUCGAGUUGUAGGAAGAUCACGGCCAGAUUUGAAUCUUGCCUUGCUCAGCCGUGAGCUGCUUUACAUCCCCGUGAAAGGCAAAUCUACGCAGGCUGGAUUUGAAUAAUGGAGUUGCCGUUAAUGUCUAACAUAAAAAGAUGAUUGGUUCUAUAUUUGAUUUACAGGAAGCAAGAAGUGGUGAAGUAUACAGUACACGAGGGGAUAUUUAUGCUGCUAAUGCUUAAAACACAGCCGAAUGUACUGCACACUGUAACCAUUUCAAAUGGCAAAAACAAAGGUGUGUGUAUGGCAGUAAAUCCCGUUAUUCUGAUAUUAGAAUGGCCCCAGAUCAGGAUCUAACUGUGCAGUCUCUUCAACAUGCAGAGCAAGUCUGAUAAGCCACUGUUUAGUUACUGCCUGUUACAGGAUUAUCGGCUUUGAAUCAAAGAAAAUAAUUUCAAAUAGGUUAGGAUUUAGGAUAUAUUGUUUCGUCUUCAUCAGUUUCUAAUGCAAGAAUUGUUUUUUCCAAUUUAUGUGCAAAUAGGCUUCUAAAAUCUGUUGCUGUGAACUGAGAUUUUUGUCAGAUUUUUUCUUCAUCAAAUUACUCUUGUUUUGCUAAUAACUGUCAAAUUGCACCUCAACUCAGCAUUUCAUUGAUGUAUCUUGCCUGCAGUAGCUAACAGUAGUUCUCUGAGGUGUAUCACUUGGCUGCUUUGCAAACAGGGUGCUCUUAAGUAAUUCAGCUGUGCAUUUAGAUUUUUUGAAAUGUUAAAGCAAUUAUAUUUGAUUUUUAGAAGAAUAAUUCAUUGUCAAUUCAAACUAGGUGAAUUUCUCAAAAAAAAGGAAGGCUUUCUGGAAGGCUUUCUCAUAGGUUUGUAAGCUGCACGGACCUACUGCAUUCAUCGUCCUGCAAUGUCUAAAUCUAAAGCACAUUAGCUAUGUUUUUAGUCUAUUUUUUAAGCAAACAAAAUAUUAGUAUGGUCUUGAUAAAUAAUAUUAUCUGCUCCAUUUACAUGCGUCUACCCUUCCCACCAUUUCUCCAGCAAAAUCCUUUAUAGGGAUUGAGGUAGUAGAGCGCCCUGAGUUUGGAGCUGGUUAAUAGCUUCCAUCAUCUAAUGUUGUUAGUGGUGAUUGCUUCUGGCUGGUUUAUUUCUGGGGCAGAAAGAUGUUAUUAAAUAAAGAGCAUUUGGUGAGCUUGA